rnacentral:lncRNA from 1 species
AUGCCUAUAUCAAAGGUUAAUCAGAGCAAAACACAGCCUGAUUAGCUGGGGAUCUCUAGCUUGCAAAAAGAAGGAUUUUAUUUGGUAUUAAGAAUAAGAAUUAGGAAAAGGAAGAUCAUUUCUUCUAAGUCAUUGUUUUUCUGGAUUUGGAAUGACUGUUUUCCCAGACCUGAGCCUUUCCUGGCUGGCCUAACAAUUUUCUGCCUGACAUUGUUGGGAAGAUCUUUUGUAAAUUUAUAGCUCUUGCUCCAUGUGGUUAUAGCUCUUGCUCCAUGUGGUUACAUCACUGACUAUUCUUACCUCAUCUUCUAGAGACUGUAUGGAACUUUACAAAUGAUGAUGGCAAAUCCUCCAGGACCCUAUUGAACGGUUCUCUCCCUUGCCUUUAAGUUCUUCUCCCCAGCUAGGGUUCACAGGGCUACUUUCCUGACAAUCGGGUGAAGCUGACUAUAUGACCUCAGAUCUACCCUUCUCUCUUCGAUGCCCUGUUCUGGGACUGCAGAGGCUGACUCAUGGAUUUCACUGAUGAGCUGUCUUGCCAUUCAGGUUCCAGGUGGAUUUGGCUGAUGGAAGCAGAGGGAAUCAAGGUUUUGAGGUGAAGGCCAAAAUAGAAAUUGCCAUCAAGCUCCAAAUGAUCCUCAGUGAGGGAUACUGCUCUCUCAGUAUUCAAGAGUCACCCUUCCACAGAGAACCCCUAGACUGCCCAUCAGUGGAAUAUGGAGAGGUAAAAUCCUGCCCCUGUCUCCUUUUUGACCUGGCUGGAUACCAUUUUCACCAAGAGAUUCACUCACAGAGUCACCCUGCCUUGACAGCUAGCAAGAGGCCAAGACCCACAGAACAAUGACUACCACCCCUCUGACAGCAGGAAGCAGUUACAGAAGACUGACCUUUGUCCAUUUUCCCAAAGAAUUGGGUCUUGGACUCUUGAGGGGCAGGAAUGUUAGAGUAGGUAGUUAGGUAGGUGUGAGGAAGGCAGGGGAGGACUCUCCACCCCAGGAAUGUCAGAUGACCAUCAGGUCAUGUCAAGUGGUUGUUAAACUGUCUCUCUGAAAUGAUAAUUGGUUGCAGCUGGCUCCAGGGUAAGACAGUCUCCCAGUAGAUGGAAAACACCUACAGUUGGUAAUCAGCAGCUUGAUAAGAUCUCAAAAGCUGGGCAAGUGGCCUGAAGCAUGUGAACUAAGAAGCAAAAUGACUGAUGUGUGAUGUUCCCCUGGGGGGCGUUUGCCCCCAGAGAGCAUGCGCCCAGUCUUAGUAAAUGCACUAUACAUGUGGUCACCCUCCCAAAUGCUGACCGACAUUGCACAUGCAGUAGCUGAGCAAUAGCCUGCCCCAAGGGAAGAUUCAAUGGAGGAGAAAAGAAAAUCCCAGAGCCGUGUCAAUGUAUAAAACCCCAAGUCAAGGGCUGAACGAGCCACUUGGACCUCUCAAGUUGCCUGCUUGGCCCUCUUCCAAGUGUACUUUGCUUCUUUUGCUCCUGCUCUAAAACAUUUUAAUAAACUCUCCCUCCUGCUC